GCGGGCGUAGCUCAGUGAUACAGCACAUGCUUAACGUGCAUGGGGUCCUGGGUUCAAGCCCCAGCGCCUCCG
rnacentral:tRNA from 1 species